AACGAACGUUGGCGGCGCGCCUAACACAUGCAAGUCGCACGCGAAAGGGAGUAAUCCCCGGUAGAGUGGCGCACGGGUGAGUAACACGUGGAUAAUCUUCCCUUGAGCGGGGGAUAACCUUCCGAAAGGAGGGCUAAUACCGCAUAAGACCACGACCAGUACGCUGGACGAGGUUAAAGCUGGCCUCUUCAUGAAAGCUAGCACUCGAGGAUGAGUCCGCGGCCCAUCAGCUAGUUGGUAGUGUAAAAGACUACCAAGGCUAAGACGGGUAGCUGGUCUGAGAGGAUGAUCAGCCACACUGGAACUGAGACACGGUCCAGACUCCUACGGGAGGCAG
rnacentral:rRNA from 1 species